AGAGUUUGAUCCUGGCUCAGGACGAACGCUGGCGGCGUGCCUAAUACAUGCAAGUAGAACGCUGAAGAGAGGAGCUUGCUCUUCUUGGAUGAGUUGCGAACGGGUGAGUAACGCGUAGGUAACCUGCCUUGUAGCGGGGGAUAACUAUUGGAAACGAUAGCUAAUACCGCAUAACAAUGGGUGACUCAUGUCAUUUAUUUGAAAGGGGCAAAUGCUCCACUACAAGAUGGACCUGCGUUGUAUUAGCUAGUAGGUGAGGUAACGGCUCACCUAGGCGACGAUACAUAGCCGACCUGAGAGGGUGAUCGGCCACACUGGGACUGAGACACGGCCCAGACUCCUACGGGAGGCAGCAGUAGGGAAUCUUCGGCAAUGGGGGCAACCCUGACCGAGCAACGCCGCGUGAGUGAAGAAGGUUUUCGGAUCGUAAAGCUCUGUUGUAAGUCAAGAACGAGUGUGAGAGUGGAAAGUUCACACUGUGACGGUAGCUUACCAGAAAGGGACGGCUAACUACGUGCCAGCAGCCGCGGUAAUACGUAGGUCCCGAGCGUUGUCCGGAUUUAUUGGGCGUAAAGCGAGCGCAGGCGGUUAGAUAAGUCUGAAGUUAAAGGCUGUGGCUUAACCAUAGUACGCUUUGGAAACUGUUUAACUUGAGUGCAGAAGGGGAGAGUGGAAUUCCAUGUGUAGCGGUGAAAUGCGUAGAUAUAUGGAGGAACACCGGUGGCGAAAGCGGCUCUCUGGUCUGUAACUGACGCUGAGGCUCGAAAGCGUGGGGAGCGAACAGGAUUAGAUACCCUGGUAGUCCACGCCGUAAACG
rnacentral:rRNA from 1 species